UUGGGUUAUUUAGUGAAAUUCACAUCAUUAUUUCAUGAUGAAGAUAAGACCUAUUUA
rnacentral:tRNA from 1 species